ACUUAAUUUGGAUGACAAAUCAUUCCACAAACAUUAUAAAUCCUCCAAGCAGUAAAUAUUUCAGGUUUCAAGAGCCAAUUAGAAAGUGCAUGAGAUCAUUCCACCCAAGACACAGAAGCAAGGAUGCCUACAAAUCAGACUCAUGUAUGCAAAGAAAGCACAACUGACAAGAUGAUGAAAAACAUGCCUGCCAUGUAAAUAUUUUCUGAUUACUAAAUGGGAACCUUGUUUCUACACCAACAAUAAACAGACAACCAGACCCACCUAUGACAGGUUUAACUCAUCCAAACUGGUUCAUGGAUAAGUUUGUUCAAGCAGCCUUCAUGAAGAAAAAUCAUUAAGAAAUAAGUAAAACUCCUUAAUUCCUAUCAAAAAUUUUCUUUUAAAA